ACUCCUACGGGAGGCAGCAGUAGGGAAUCUUCCACAAUGGGCGCAAGCCUGAUGGAGCAACACCGCGUGAGUGAAGAAGGGUUUCGGCUCGUAAAGCUCUGUUGUUAAAGAAGAACACGUAUGAGAGUAACUGUUCAUACGUUGACGGUAUUUAACCAGAAAGUCACGGCUAACUACGUGCCAGCAGCCGCGGUAAUACGUAGGUGGCAAGCGUUAUCCGGAUUUAUUGGGCGUAAAGAGAGUGCAGGCGGUUUUCUAAGUCUGAUGUGAAAGCCUUCGGCUUAACCGGAGAAGUGCAUCGGAAACUGGAUAACUUGAGUGCAGAAGAGGGUAGUGGAACUCCAUGUGUAGCGGUGGAAUGCGUAGAUAUAUGGAAGAACACCAGUGGCGAAGGCGGCUACCUGGUCUGCAACUGACGCUGAGACUCGAAAGCAUGGGUAGCGAACAGGAUUAGAUACCCUGGUAGGCUAGAG
rnacentral:rRNA from 1 species